UUAUGAAAAGAAGGGAAUCUGAACUCAGAGACAAGGACACACAGGGACGACAUUGCAGUGUUGCAGCUGGAAGCCAAGGACUCUGAGGACCGGGCAGCCACCAGGAGCUGGAAGAGGCAGGAAGGAUGGUCCUCUUGACCUUCAGAGGGAGUGCAGCCUUGCCGACACCUGGAUUUUGGACAUCCAGUACCCAGAACUGUGAGAAGCGGUUUCUGCCGUUUAAGCACCCCUGGGAGUGAUGCUUUGUUACAGCAGCCCCAGGACGCUUACCCAGGCCUCUUUGCUCAGCUGGACCCCAGAACAGGAGGAGAAACCACAGCUGACCCCGCGUUGGGGGUGCCUCCAAGCUGCAACAGGCCACCCCUGCAAUCCAGUUCUGCCUGCAAAAGCCCCAGCUCACGCACGUUUUCUGGGAUGAUAGUCUUCAGUAUUCCAAGGGAUUUCUUUGAGCGCGCCAGACUCCAAGUCCCAGCCUCACACUUGACAAGGGAUGCAAUCAACAGUUGACUGUCGACAGCAUUUUCAGAUCAGUCGGGCACAGAGGGGGCGGUGGACAAGAGCAGGCAGACAAGAGCAGGUUACUGCAACAGUCCAGACUCAGGCCAUCGCCGCCUGAAUCAGGUGAUGAAUUCCAGGACAGUGGAGCUGGGUCACUCUGCAGAAAGCAGAGGAAAGGGGAGAAGUCCCGCGGCAGCUCUCCUGGGAGGCCUGAGGAAGGAUAGCCAAUGCAGAGAUGGAUGCAGGUUGGGAAAGCAGCAGAGCCAAAAGGAAGACAGGUCAGCAGCAGCAGCAGCCAGAAGAUGGAUGGAGUGACAGCCGUGGACACGCACACGCGCACACGUGCAGACAGCCGGCAAGCUAGACCAUUGACCACGUCUGGGCAGAGAAAGCGAGCGCGGGGCUGCAGCGGGAGGGGCCGGCAGGUUAA